AUGCGACCCACCGCCCCGGCCCACCGACUGUCGACAGUCUUAAGCACCCAGUAUGCUUGUUGCAGGGUGCAGCCGACAAAAGGGACGAACCGCACACAGUGGAACAAUUGUAUUAUAACAUUGAGGAAGGAAUGCCUCUUGCCGAAGAGCAACAGUGGUCAGAAAAGCUUUUCGAUGCAAUCGACUCAUCUUUGUUGUCUGUCGAGGUCGAGCUGGGGAGAAUCGUUCCUGGUUGCCCCGACGAAGAGACCCGACAGCUCAUUGAUAGAGAAUUCUUGGAUUUUAUCCAUUCCUAUUCGAGGGAAAAGCCGCCACGAAGAGGUCUCGCUAAGUCCAAACCACCACCCAAAGGACCAAAGAGCCUCAGACGCCAGCAAUAUCGGCAACUCCAGAGAUUGUGGGACAAAAACCGAUCCGCAGCAGCCGAACAGGCCCUAACAGGUAAAUGGCAAGAAGUUCGGACUGAUGCUGGGGUCCCAUUAUCGUUGAUGGAGGUCCCGUGGCGGGAGAUUUUCGAAACACCAUCUACGACGGACGUCCGAGAGCCGGCCCCAGCUGGGCCGGUUCUGUGGCAGCUUCUCAGACCAGUGACUAUCGCAGAAGUAGAGGACGCAAUUUCCUCCAAGAAAUCAGCUAGCGGUCCAGAUGGAGUGCCUUGUGCCGCCCUUCAAACCAUGGGCGCCGCCUCCCUAGCAGCUCACUUUAACUUGUGGCUGUUGGCCGGUACUCAGCCCAAACGCCUAACAGAAUGCCGAACAAUAUUUGUGCCUAAGGAGGUAAAUACUCACCUGCCCCUCCAUCAUAGGCCAAUCACUAUCGGCUCGGUGGUUGUAAGACUCUUCCACCAGAUUCUGGGAAAGCGAAUGGAAGCAGUACUGCCAUUGGGGUCGGGCCAGCGCGGUUUUCGAAAGGGUGACGGAAUAUGCCAGAACAUCUGGCUCCUCCGUACUCUAAUCAGACGCAGCACUGAUUUGCUGAGGCCACUCAAGCUGGUCUUCUUGGAUGUGAAAAAGGCCUUCGAUUCGGUUAGUCACGAAUCCCUUUUAAUUGCGGCGAAGCGUCUCGGAGUGCCCGGGCCGCUCCUAACGUACAUCAAUGAACUGUACUCUCGUUCGGAGACAGUCUUUGAAGUUGGGGGCGAGAGCAGUGGCUCUGUUAAAGUAUCCCAAGGGGUAAAGCAAGGGGAUCCAUUGAGUUCGACGCUCUUCAACUGCGUCAUUGACUGGGCGGUCUCAGAUCUCGACCCCCACAUAGGCGUCUUACUAGGGGAGUCUCGAGUCUCCUUUCUAGCUUACGCUGAUGACCUGGUUCUCCUAUCGGAGACCGAGGCUGCACUGACAAGCCAGCUGAACUCAAUUGAAAAGAGUCUAGCGCACUGUGGUCUCAAGCUCAGUACGGGGGACGGUGGUAAAUCUGCUUCGCUGAACAUCGUGAUUGAUGGUAAAGCUAAGCGGUGGGUUGUAAACCCUACCCCGUUCCUACGUGCGUCUGGUGGCGAAAUUCGAUCUCUCGUCGCAAAUGAGACGUACAAGUACUUGGGCAUUAACAUCGGAGCCCAGGGCGUGAAAGCUGCUGAAUACAAUGCAUUCAAAGAAGCACUCGAUAACUUGUCUCGAGCUCCACUUAAGCCGCAGCAGAGGUUAUUCCUGCUGAAGACCUAUCUGUUGCCGCAACUACACCACUCACUGGUAUUGUCAAGGACAACUGGCAAACUAUUGAACAGCCUCGAUGCUCUCGUAAGAAAAGCUGUACGGGGAUGGCUUAAAUUGCCACACGACACUCAUAGGGCCUUCUUUUAUGCUCACCAGGCCGACGGGGGACUCAAUGUCCCAAGUCUGUACCAUCUAAUACCUCUCCUAAGGAGGAGUAGGUAUGAACGCUUGACGAGGGUCGAAGACCCUGAGAUAAGGGAAGUGUCCCGAACCGACUACUUCAAAAGAGUCUUGGGUGCCGCGGCGGCGGCCACCACGGUUGCAGGGCAUCGAAUUGAUUCCAAAGUAACGUUGCGCCUAGCUUGGCGCGAGGCCCUUUACGCUUCAGCUGACGGGCGGGGUCUCUCCCAAUGCCCGUUGGUACCCGAGGUUCACUCCUGGGUUACCGAUGUUUCCGGUCUUCAGACCGGAUCGCAGUACAUCUCUGCUGUUCGCUUAAGGGGGGCCUUGCUUCCCACGGCGGUAAGGAAAUCGAGGGGUCGCGGGGGUGUUAACUCGAAUUGCGACUGUUGCGGUCGUGGACAACCAGAGUUUCUUGGGCACGUUCUCCAGACGUGUCCUCGGACCUGGGGGUCUCGCAUCAGUCGUCACAACCACGUCCUCUCCCUUAUCGCUAAAGCGUGCCGUUCGCGAAGAUGGCAGGUGCUGGAAGAGCCGAUCAUCCAGACUCCUGCGCAGUUGCUCAAGCCGGACUUGGUGAUCUGGAACCAUCAAGCGGCGUACGUCGUUGGCGUUAGCGUACCGGGUGAUAACACCCCGCUCAGUACGUGUCACAACAGGAAAGUCGC
rnacentral:ncRNA from 1 species